rnacentral:rRNA from 1 species
UACGUAGGGCGCAAGCGUUGUCCGGAAUUAUUGGGCGUAAAGAGCUCGUAGGCGGUUUGUCGCGUCUGCUGUGAAAAACCUAAGGCUCAACCUUGGGCUUGCAGUGGGGUACGGGGCAGACUAGAGUGCGGGUAGGGGGUGACUGGAAUUCCUGGUGUAGCGGUGGAAUGCGCAGAUAUCAGGGAGGGAAACACCCGAUGGCGAAAGGGCAGG